GAUGAACGCUGGCGGCGUGCCUAAUACAUGCGAGUCGAGCGAACAGACGAGGAGCUUGCUUUUCUGAUGUUAGCGGCGGACGGGUGAGUAACACGUGGAUAACCUACCUAUAAGACUGGGAUAACUUCGGGAAACCGGAGCUAAUACCGGAUAAUAUUUUGAACCGCAUGGUUCAAUAGUGAAAGACGGUCUUGCUGUCACUUAUAGAUGGAUCCGCGCUGCAUUAGCUAGUUGGUAAGGUAACGGCUUACCAAGGCAACGAUGCAUAGCCGACCUGAGAGGGUGAUCGGCCACACUGGAACUGAGACACGGUCCAGACUCCUACGGGAGGCAGCAGUAGGGAAUCUUCCGCAAUGGGCGAAAGCCUGACGGAGCAACGCCGCGUGAGUGAUGAAGGUCUUCGGAUCGUAAAACUCUGUUAUUAGGGAAGAACAAAUGUGUAAGUAACUGUGCACAUCUUGACGGUACCUAAUCAGAAAGCCACGGCUAACUACGUG
rnacentral:rRNA from 1 species